CACACAAUCACAGCCAGCCUAUAAAUGGGAUUGUGCAGCCCAGCCUUAACUCAGCAGCAAAACUGCAGGGGGACUGGGAAACGAGGCACUGACUUCCAGGUGAGAAACGACCUGAAACACUUCAAUGAACUGCAGCUUUGACCUGGGGGUGGUGGAGCCCAAGGAGUGUUUGCCACCCAUCAGCUUCCCAGGUCCUCAGCAUUUGUGACCCUGCAGCGUCAGCGGCGUUGGGCAGGUAUUUGGCAGAAGGUCCUGAGUCUCCUCUUUGGGGCAGCUGGCAACAAGACCUCUCCCUUCUGGGGGCUGAAAAUGAAGUGGGAAGAGGUCAGGUGUGUGAUGAAGGGUUGGGUACCAGCUGAUGGAUGUAAAAGGCACCAACCAACCACCCAGUGAUACCCAUCCAGCCCUGAAGCGGGGGCUUGGGCUGAGGCUGUCCUCCAGCCUUCCUGAUGGUGACCGCUGAUGGCUUUUUGUUGGGUGCACCCAUUGGGGUGGUAAUCUUGACCUUGAGGCUACAUAAAGUGGAAGUUAGUGGAAAGUCUGGAAAAGCUGCAUCUUUCUGGGGAAAAAAAGGAUGGUUUUGGUGCUUCAGAGUAACCUGCUGCUGCGUGUCCCCAGGAGGGCACGUGUGCAGCUGUACCGGAGAGCAAAACGCAACCCGGUGCCUGUUCACUGAUCCGAGGGCUGGAUGAUUAAAAGCUUAAUGCUGCAGGCUGUGUUCCCCUGGGCACUGCCACUGCCUUCGUCCCCUGUCCGGCACGCUGACAUUACUGACACAGUUUGUUUUGGGGACACGCACCAGAGGAACAGCAUCUUCCCGGCACUUACUGGGGGCGCUUGCUGGAGCACCUUUUGUUCAACAUUAAACUUCUCGUGUCUCUUCCCAGGCCUCUGCCUCCUGUUGUGACAAAAAAAUGUUCAAGAGCUUCAUCUCGAAGCCGUGACAAUAGCUUUCAGAGAGUGUUUUGAAGAUUUUAUUUGCCUCUGGAAUAGUUUUAAUCAAAGUAUUUUUUUUCUAUCAGUUUUUGGACACUUUACAGUUUUCAGUAGCUGCCUUGAAUCAAGUCCAUGAGUAUGUCUAACAUGCCAAAAAUAGAUUCAGCUGAAGCCUCUAUUACAAUUAUCACUUUGGAUUUCUGUGCCACUUACCACUUAAGUGGUUUACAAGCAAUUACAGCCCAAAUCUUCGAGAACCUGUUGGAAGCAGAGCAUUUCCUGCCCCGGGUUCACAGAGAAGUGGAGCAGCUCGGUGCGAUGCUGCUCUGCCACCAGCUGAGCUCUGGUACCAGAGGAAGGGAAGAGGGGAGGAUGCUCCUCGGUAAUCCAGCCCCAGCAGACAUGCCCAUGGUAACAGAGCAGCAGGGGCAGAAGAGGAGAAUCCAGAUUCCCUGCAUUCAGUCCUAUCCCAAGAGCAAACCAGCUUGAGUGCUGCUGCUGGCAAUCCCUCUUCUGUUCUUGAAUUCUGCUGGGAAGGGUUAAAAGCCCUUAAGCCAGAUAGAUGGAAAGACAGAUAGAUAUUCACGUCGCUGUUCGUGUAAAAGCAGCAUCAAAUGAGAAAGAUUAGCUAUGUAUUUGGCAAGCUGCUUGCAUAUGUCACAUUUAAUCCCUUCAUCAUGGCUUCUUAGUACCGAGCAGAUUAUUAGCGAGUAAUGGAAUGGUGUGAGAAUACCUGGUGGCAUUAUAUCUGCAUCUCCCCUUUGUUAUUACCUUCAGGAACGGAUAAUGUGAACAUGAAAUAAGAAUUACCCAAGGAUUGUGUUCAAUGCAGGACCUGAGAAGCCUCCUGGAGGGGAACUGCUGCAACAAAGGACUUUCAGCAGACGUUGGCUGGGCUGGGCUGUGUUGGGGUCCUGCUGGAAGGGCUGAGUCCAGGAAUGGUGUCUGAAAUGUAAUAUUGCUUUGAAUUCAGAGCACGGAUUUGAGAGGACAUUUUCAGUCACAUCUGGGAACUGUAGGACCAACACUAAUGUUCAAAAUGUAAUGUUUUGUGGUUAUGCAGACAUGCAGCAUUAUUCUGCCUUUUCUGCUCCAAAAGCUACGAUGUGCAGCAAUAUAGGACUGAAGAAUCCGAGCACUGUUGAAAAGACAUCUUAUUUUUCCUUUAAGGUUGCUUAAUUAAUUUCUUUCAACUUCUUUAUACUGUUUGAUGAAUGUUAUUUCAAACUACUGUCAAGGGAAAUGUGAGGAGGGAAAAAUGAACCACCUACAUACUGCUUCGAAUACAAUUGUAUCUCCCUUGACAAACAGAAUUUAAAAAAAAAAAAAAAGGUGUUAGCCCUAUAUGCAUGACAGAGAGGGUUUAGAAUAAUUGUGCUUGUUUCUAUUUUAAUUAUCCUUGUCAGGACAUUUUGUAAAACACACAAAAAAAAUUAUAAGUUAAAUAAAAAUCAGAGGCAGGCCAG